rnacentral:rRNA from 1 species
UACGGAGGGUGCGAGCGUUGUUCGGAAUCACUGGGCGUAAAGGGCGUGUAGGCGGUCCGCUAAGUCUGAUGUGAAAGCCCGGGGCUCACCCCCGGAAGUGCAUUGGAAACUGGCGGACUCGAGUCCCGGAGAGGAGAGUGGAAUUCCUGGUGUAGCGGUGAAAUGCGUAGAUAUCUGGAGGAACACCGGUGGCGAAGGCGGCAUCCUGGACCAACACUGACGCUGAGUGAGCGAAAGCCAGGGGAGCAAACGGG